GAAAUGCGAUAAGUAGUGUGAAUUGCAGAAUUCAGUGAAUCAUCGAAUCUUUGAACGCACAUUGCGCCCCUUGGUAUUCCAUGGGGCAUGCCUGUUCGAGCGUCAUUUGUACUCUCAAGCCUUGCUUGGUGUUGGGUGAUUGUCUUUGCUGUGCUUAGACUCGCCUUAAAUAUAUUGGCAGCCGAUAUAGAGGUUUGAAUUGCAGCACAAUUUGCGAUUUUGACUUGUUUUAUUAGCAUCCAUUAGGAUUAUUUAACGUUUGACCUCGGAUCAGGUAGGGAUACCCGCUGAACUUAA
rnacentral:misc_RNA from 1 species